GCUGGCGGCGUGCCUAAUACAUGCAAGUCGAGCGAACGGACGAGAAGCUUGCUUCUCUGAUGUUAGCGGCGGGCGGGUGAGUAACACGUGGAUAACCUACCUAUAAGACUGGGAUAACUUCGGGAAACCGGAGCUAAUACCGGAUAAUAUUUUGAACCGCAUGGUUCAAAAGUGAAAGGCGGUCUUGCUGUCACUUAUAGAUGGAUCCGCGCUGCAUUAGCUAGUUGGUAAGGUAACGGCUUACCAAGGCAACGAUGCAUAGCCGACCUGAGAGGGUGAUCGGCCACACUGGAACUGAGACACGGUCCAGACUCCUACGGGAGGCAGCAGUAGGGAAUCUUCCGCAAUGGGCGAAAGCCUGACGGAGCAACGCCGCGUGAGUGAUGAAGGUCUUCGGAUCGUAAAACUCUGUUAUUAGGGAAGAACAUAUGUGUAAGUAACUGUGCACAUCUUGACGGUACCUAAUCAGAAAGCCACGGCUAACUACGUGCCAGCAGCCGCGGUAAUACGUAGGUGGCAAGCGUUAUCCGGAAUUAUUGGGCGUAAAGCGCGCGUAGGCGGUUUUUUAAGUCUGAUGUGAAAGCCCACGGCUCAACCGUGGAGGGUCAUUGGAAACUGGAAAACUUGAGUGCAGAAGAGGAAAGUGGAAUUCCAUGUGUAGCGGUGAAAUGCGCAGAGAUAUGGAGGAACACAGUGGCGAAGGCGACUUUCUGGUCUGUAACUGACGCUGAUGUGCGAAAGCG
rnacentral:rRNA from 1 species